AGCGAACGCUGGCGGCAGGCCUAACACCUGCAAGUCGAACGGAUCCUUCGGGAUUAGUGGCGGACGGGUGAGUAACACGUGGGAACGUGCCCUUUGGUUCGGAACAACUCAGGGAAACUUGAGCUAAUACCGGAUGUGCCCUUCGGGGGAAAGAUUUAUCGCCAUUGGAGCGGCCCGCGUCUGAUCAGCUAGUUGGUGAGGUAAAGGCUCACCAAGGCGACGAUCAGUAGCUGGUCUGAGAGGAUGAUCAGCCACAUUGGGACUGAGACACGGCCCAAACUCCUACGGGAGGCAGCAGUGGGGAAUCUUGCGCAAUGGGCGAAAGCCUGACGCAGCCAUGCCGCGUGAAUGAUGAAGGUCUUAGGAUUGUAAAAUUCUUUCACCGGGGACGAUAAUGACGGUACCCGGAGAAGAAGCCCCGGCUAACUUCGUGCCAGCCGCCGCGGUAA
rnacentral:rRNA from 1 species